rnacentral:rRNA from 1 species
UACGAAGGGGGCUAGCGUUGUUCGGAAUUACUGGGCGUAAAGCGCGCGCAGGUGGUCUUUCAAGUCAGUGGUGAAAGCCCGGAGCUCAACUCCGGAAAUGCCAUUGAAACUGUAAGACUUGAGGAUGAGAGAGGUGAGUGGAAUUCCCAGUGUAGAGGUGAAAUUCGUAGAUAUUGGGAAGAACACCGGUGGCGAAGGCGGCUCACUGGCUCAUAUCUGUCGCUCAGGCGCGACAGCGUGGGGAUCAAACAGG